UCAGGACGAACGCUGGCGGCGUGCCUAAUACAUGCAAGUCGAGCGGACAGAUGGGAGCUUGCUCCCUGAUGUUAGCGGCGGACGGGUGAGUAACACGUGGGUAACCUGCCUGUAAGACUGGGAUAACUCCGGGAAACCGGGGCUAAUACCGGAUGCUUGUUUGAACCGCAUGGUUCAAACAUAAAAGGUGGCUUCGGCUACCACUUACAGAUGGACCCGCGGCGCAUUAGCUAGUUGGUGAGGUAAUGGCUCACCAAGGCAACGAUGCGUAGCCGACCUGAGAGGGUGAUCGGCCACACUGGGACUGAGACACGGCCCAGACUCCUACGGGAGGCAGCAGUAGGGAAUCUUCCGCAAUGGACGAAAGUCUGACGGAGCAACGCCGCGUGAGUGAUGAAGGUUUUCGGAUCGUAAAGCUCUGUUGUUAGGGAAGAACAAGUACCGUUCGAAUAGGGCGGUACCUUGACGGUACCUAACCAGAAAGCCACGGCUAACUACGUGCCAGCAGCCGCGGUAAUACGUAGGUGGCAAGCGUUGUCCGGAAUUAUUGGGCGUAAAGGGCUCGCAGGCGGUUCCUUAAGUCUGAUGUGAAAGCCCCCGGCUCAACCGGGGAGGGUCAUUGGAAACUGGGGAACUUGAGUGCAGAAGAGGAGAGUGGAAUUCCACGUGUAGCGGUGAAAUGCGUAGAGAUGUGGAGGAACACCAGUGGCGAAGGCGACUCUCUGGUCUGUAACUGACGCUGAGGAGCGAAAGCGUGGGGAGCGAACAGGAUUAGAUACCCUGGUAGUCCACGCCGUAAACGAUGAGUGCUAAGUGUUAGGGGGUUUCCGCCCCUUAGUGCUGCAGCUAACGCAUA
rnacentral:rRNA from 1 species